rnacentral:rRNA from 1 species
UCCUACGGGAGGCAGCAGUGGGGAAUUUUGGACAAUGGGCGCAAGCCUGAUCCAGCCAUGCCGCGUGUAUGAAGAAGGCCUUCGGGUUGUAAAGUACUUUUGUCAGGGAAGAAAAGCCUGGGGAUAACACCCUCAGGUCAUGACGGUACCUGAAGAAUAAGCACCGGCUAACUACGUGCCAGCAGCCGCGGUAA